rnacentral:lncRNA from 1 species
CCGCCCAGCGCGAGGAGCACGGAGAGGGCUAGUUUCCGCUUGGUUCCACAACCCUUCCCUCCUCGCCCCCACGGGGAUCCCCCUGGGUCUGGACGUUGUGGGGGUGUCCCCUACGCACGGGCGGGCUGAAUGCCGCAAUCCAAAGCUUCUGAUCUUCAGAAUUCCUGAUACUCUUGCCUCAUCAUCUGGGGAUCACAGGUAUAUGCUACUACACCUCAUCAUCUGGGGAUCACAGGUAUAUGCUACUACACCUCAUCAUCUGGGGAGCACAGGUAUAUGCUACUACACCUCAUCAUCUGGGAGCACAGAUUGUAUGUAUGUAUAUACACUGUAGCUGUCUUCAGACACACCAGAAGAGUGCAUCGGAUCCCAUUAAAGAUGGUUGUGAAGCUGGGCGUGGUGGCGCACACCUUUAAUCCCAGCACUCGGGAGGCAAAGGCAGGUGGAUUUCUGAGUUCCAGGCCAGCCUGGUCUACAGAGUGAGUUCCAGGACAGCCAGGGCUAUACAGAGAAACCGUCUCGAAAAACCAAAAAAAAAAAAAAAAAAAAAAAAAGAUGGUUGUGAGUCACUAUGUGGGAAUUGAAUUUAUGACCUCUGGAAGAGCAGUCAGUGCUCUUAACCGCUGAGCCAUCUCUCCAGCUCAAUCCCAGGGUUUUGUCCAUGAAGCUGGACAAGCACUCUGUCAGCGGAACAGACCAGGAUAGACUGGGUUUCAGACCAGGAAUUUUACUUACCACAGCAGACAUGGCCUCUAGGUUCUCCCAGCAUCCCUCAGUCCCUACCUGGAAUCCCAGGUCCCCAACCCUGAAAUUUCCAGCCCAGGUGCCCACUGCCCUUCCCUUAGAUGUUCUUUAGUAUAUAAAGCAGACAUUUUAGUCCCACUUACCCAACCCUGCAUGUAUGCUUUCUCUCUCGCUUCCCCCUCCCCUUCCCCCCUCCUCACUGUGACUCCCCUGGCCUGGGCCUUGGGGCCAGUGAACUCACCCCAGAGAGGCUUCCCAAUAAACCAGU